ACAAGUUACCCAAUAAAGAAAGCACAGCAACAGUGUUAGCCAAUGAAAAUGCACUGAAAGCGGGUAUAAACCCUAUAUAAGGGGAGAGCAAAAGAGGAAUGUUUGGUUGGAUUCUCCAGGCAGCUUCGAGUCAAGACCGAGAUGGACAAAGAACUCUGCAGCUGAAGAAGAGCCGGGGCCACAGGGACGAAGACUGUCCUGCGCACGGGGACCAACCCAUCAGCAACAUGUGGCUUCAAAUCGGACUUCUCUCAUCGGCUGGGUUCAGACCCCAAAGACAAAGAUAAAGGAAAAGAUGAAGACCAAAGCAAAGAUGAAGAUCAAGACAAAAAUAAAGACCCAAGUGCUGUGUGACCUCAUCAUCGAUGCAGAGAUGAAAGUUCAUCAGACCAACAGAGAUCCCUGCCUUCAUCAAUCAACCUCCUCUUCCUCCUGCUGCAACACCUUCUUCAUCGACCGUUAACAGAUGUGCUCUGUGGAACUAGUUGGCUGUAGGCUGCUCAGUCUGGCUAAUUCACAGGGGGAAGAAGGGUGGGACAUCUGGAUGUAGGCCGUUAGUAGUCAGGCGAAUCCGGUCUCGAAACCAGCUUAAACAGAGUUUACUUCAGUUCUGGAUAGGGUAAAUCCCAGCAGAUUUAGGAAACUCAAUUUACCCGUUAGAUGGAGAGCUGGUAGCACAUCUUCCCUCUCAGAAGAGGAAGUAGUGACUGAGAGAGUAGAGAGUGAAGGGGGGGGUGUAGCGGCAACAACAACCUGUGAUGAGGUUGGUUCUGUCCCUCCCCAGAGACGAAGCAUUUCCUCAUAUUUGUUUAUCAAACGCUUUCAUAUUUCAUUUUGCUGUGAAGCAGAAAGAUUUAAGAGUGAAGAUCUCAGAGGUUCCUGGUGGUCAGAAUACCCAACAUCAAACAUCCAUAUUUAUGACACAAUUACGCCUUUCGCUCUGAGCCGUGCACAAACGUGGAGAUGAAACUUCGACCUCAUAAGAUUGGAAUAUUUGUGGACUAUGAGAAAGGAGAGGUAUCUUUUUACAACGUCGAUUCAAAGUCCACAUUUACUCUUUUCACGACAUCUUCACUGAAAACCUCUUCCCCUUCUUCAGCCCCUGCACCAACAAAUCAGGAAAAAACGA